rnacentral:rRNA from 1 species
AGUGAACGCUGGCGGUAGGCCUAACACAUGCAAGUCGAACGGCAGCACAGUAAGAGCUUGCUCUUACGGGUGGCGAGUGGCGGACGGGUGAGGAAUACAUCGGAAUCUACUUUUUCGUGGGGGAUAACGUAGGGAAACUUACGCUAAUACCGCAUACGACCUACGGGUGAAAGCAGGGGAUCUUCGGACCUUGCGCGAUUGAAUGAGCCGAUGUCGGAUUAGCUAGUUGGCGGAGUAAAGGCCCACCAAGGCGACGAUCCGUAGCUGGUCUGAGAGGAUGAUCAGCCACACUGGAACUGAGACACGGUCCAGACUCCUACGGGAGGCAGCAGUGGGGAAUAUUGGACAAUGGGCGCAGGCCUGAUCCAGCCAUACCGCGUGGGUGAAGAAGGCCUUCGGGUUGUAAAGCCCUUUUGUUGGGAAAGAAAAGCAGCAGGUUAAUACCCCGCUGUUCUGACGGUACCCAAAGAAUAAGCACCGGCUAACUUCGUG